rnacentral:tRNA from 1 species
AUUUGUAUAGUUUAAUAAAAACAUUUCAUUUUCAUUGAAAAAAAAGAUUGCUUCUUACAAAUU